GUCAAACGCUUGAUCGAUUCGAGACCGACUCAAAAAUUAGAGAGAGAGAGAGAGAGAGAGAGAGAGAGAGAGAGAGAGAGAGAGAUUAAAUUAUCUCCCAAAUCAAAACUAGUUUUCGUAUUUUCUCUCUUCUUAUAUCGAUCCAGAUUAGUAAUAAGUGUUUUGAUCUCUUUCUGCAAAUCGUGAAUUCGCAUCAAAUCUCUCAUGGCAAUUUUAUUGAUGUUGAUCAGAAGUUCCUUUUCUCGUUCGCCAGGAACCGAUCCGACUCUCGCUCGUCGUCGAGAAACAGAGAAUAAGAAGAAGAAGAAGAAGAAGAAGACUUUAAACAAGAUUCAAGUGAUGAAGCUUUUGGUGGAUGACAAGCAGUCUGAGUUAGAGCGAGCAGAUGACAGAACAUUACCUCAAAAGCAACCUGUGAGGGGGUGAUCUUUGUUUCUCCGCUUCACACCGUCUCUCUAAGGUAGAUUCUCUCUAUGUCGUUAGAGUUUCCCGUUUUAUUUUGAAGCGCUUUAAAGCUUUUUGUUUUCUUAUGGUUUUAUCAGAACCAUGAGCUUAGGUAGACGUUCUUCUCAUGUUCUACCACAUCUUGUUUGGGAACAUUGUUUUUGUUUUUGUUUUUGUUUUUCACCCCCCCCCCCCCCCCCCCCCCCCCCCCCAAAAAAAAGAUAGUGUUCUGAUUGAUUCUUAUUUGGGAACAUUGUUUUGUUUUGGUUUUGUUUUGUUUUUAUUUUUCAAACCCCAAAAAAGAUCAUAGACAGACACUAAUCUAAUUGUGUUCUGUUAGAUUCUUAUUUGGAAACAUUGUCCCUUGCUGCCUCUAGAAGAAACUUAUGCCAUCCCCUAUAGCAAGAUUGUAAUUGGACCGAGAAUAUGGGUUGGUAGUGCAUGUAUGUAUAAAGAAGGAUGUUAGGGGAUGGCAAAUAAGAGCAUGCGGCUCAAUAGUCUUAAAGACAAAAAAAAAAAAAAAAAAAGACUUUUACUACCCACGGCUUGACAAGAAUCUGUUUUCAGUUAUUUGAAUGGUACAGUUUGAGAAAGUCUUAAGACAAAGACUAUAACUGAAAACAGAUUACUUACCCACCGCUUACAAAGAUUUCUUACCCACGGCUUAACGAGAAUCUGUUUUCAUUUAUUUGAAUGGUACGGCUUGAGAAAGUCUUAAGACAGAGACUAUAGCUGAAAACAGAUUCCUUACCCACGGCUUACCAAUGUCUUGACAAAGACAAAGAAAAUGUGGGAGGGUUAAGACUUGUCGGAUUGGAAUAAACGAUCGACACAACUUACAAGUCUUAAAGACAAAAGACUUUUACUACCCACGGCUUGACCAGAAUCUGUUUUCAGUUAUUUGAAUGGUUACGGUUUGAGAAAGUCUGAAGACAUUUGCUAAAAAAAAAGAAGUGUAAAGACAAAGUGCUGUGAACAAGAGAUGAAAUCGUGUUCUGUGUCUGUAUUAUUUCUGAAUCAAAGUGUUCCCUUAUAUAGGAUACAAGGGAUAGAUAAAAGGAAAGUAUCCAAAUCAUAAACCUAGAGUAAAAAGGAAAACCUCCUAAUGGAUAAA